rnacentral:rRNA from 1 species
UCGGUAUGGGAUGGGGAUGCGUUCCAUUAGUUAGUUGGCGGGGUAACGGCCCACCAAGACAACGAUGGAUAGGGGUUCUGAGAGGAAGGUCCCCCACAUUGGAACUGAGACACGGUCCAAACUCCUACGGGAGGCAGCAGUGAGGAAUAUUGGUCAAUGGACGAGAGUCUGAACCAGCCAAGUAGCGUGAAGGAUGACUGCCCUAUGGGUUGUAAACUUCUUUUAUAUGGGAAUAAAACGUUCCACGUGUGGAAUUUUGUAUGUACCAUAUGAAUAAGGAUCGGCUAACUCCGUGCCAGCAGCCGCGGUAAUACGGAGGAUCCGAGCGUUAUCCGGAUUUAUUGGGUUUAAAGGGAGCGUAGGUGGAUUGUUAAGUCAGUUGUGAAAGUUUGCGGCUCAACCGUAAAAUUGCAGUUGAAACUGGCAGUCUUGAGUACAGUAGAGGUGGGCGGAAUUCGUGGUGUAGCGGUGAAAUGCUUAGAUAUCACGAAGAACUCCGAUUGCGAAGGCAGCUCACUGGACUGCAACUGACACUGAGGCUCGAAAGUGUGGGUAUCAAACAGGAUUAGAUACCCUGGUAGUCCACACAGUAAACGAUGAAUACUCGCUGUUUGCGAUAUACAGCAAGCGGC